AAGCCGUGGCGUCUAGGCUCUUGCCUGGGUAGCCUGAGCAGGGCACAGUCCCAGCUAGUGAGCGGAGCGGCCGCAGGCAGCCAAGAUGAGCAGCCGAGUGACUUUCUUCGAGGUAGAAAUCCUUGACUACAAGACAAAGAAGCAACUAUGCUUUCUGGAUAAGGUUGAACCACACGCCUCAAUUAAUGACAUCAGAUUGAUGUUCCAUAAAUUUUGUAAGUAGUGUGUAUGUUUUCUAAUGUAUGCCAAACACAGACACCCCAUUCAUUGCAACU
rnacentral:lncRNA from 1 species